CUUUGAACUUGUGAUCCUUCUGCCUCAGCCUCCCGAGCUGCUGGGAUUACAGAUAUUUCCAGUAGAGGCGUUCCACACUACUAGCUGCUUGGGAGGCUGAGGCAAGAGGAUCCCAAGUUCAAGAGCUUUGGCAGCUUCUGGUUCCUAUACAGGCAGGACAGUUCCAGCAGCAGAAGCAUCAGGGCAUGCCCUGCACUCAUGCAGCUCUGACUUUGAAAGUGGU